rnacentral:rRNA from 1 species
UAGGGAAUAUUGGACAACGGGGGCAACCCUGAUCCAGCCAUGCCGCGUGAGUGAAGAAGGCCCUCGGGUUGUAAAGCUCUUUUGUCCGGAAAGAAAAGCAUUCGGUGAAUACCCGGAUGUUCUGACGGUACCGGAAGAAUAAGCACCGGCUAACUUCGUGCCAGCAGCCGCGGUAAUACGAAGGGUGCAAGCGUUACUCGGAAUUACUGGGCGUAAAGCGUGCGUAGGUGGUUGUUUAAGUCUGAUGUGAAAGCCCUGGGCUCAACCUGGGAAUGGCAUUGGAAACUGUGCAGCUAGAGUGCGGUAGAGGGUAGUGGAAUUCCCGGUGUAGCAGUGAAAUGCGUAGAGAUCGGGAGGAACAUCUGUGGCGAAGGCGACUGCCUGGACCAGCACUGACACUGAGGCACGAAAGCGUGGGGAGCAAACA